AUAAUAAUAAUAAUAAUAAUAGGCCUAGUAAUAAUAAUAAUAAUUAUUAUUAUUAUAAAAUAAUAAUAUAUAAUAUUAAUAAUAAUUAUUAUUAUUGUCAUAUAAAGACAAUAUAACAUUAAAACUGUGAAAAUUGCAGUCACCCCUUCCAACCUCUUUAUUUAUCCCUUACUAUUAUCUAAAAUUACCACAACAGAAAAAAAUCAGUAAUAAAAUCGAAUAGUCGAUUGCAAUGAAAAAAAACACCACCUUACACUAGAGUGUAGUUUAGACGCGUUUGACACAAACGCAAGAAACGCGUAACGCAACACAUACAAUUUCUUAUGUAAACCACAAGACAAACAGCAAACACAAUGUACUGUACAAAAAAAAAUUUAACUGACACCCCGACAUACGUACUAGCUUCGACGAGGUCAUAAUGCCGUGUUCUGCGUUUGUACCUAAAUCGUUUUAUCUAGUGAACACAAUAUAUUAUUAUACGCAAGUAGGCCUAUAUACUGAUGAGUCGAGGGGACAUAAAGAUGGAACACAAUUUAAAGAUCAUAACCAACAAAAGAAUGAUAAAAACUAAUUAAAAAAACACCAGAUUAAUUGUUGCUCAGCACUAGCCAAAAUUAUUAAGGGGAAUCCCCUCGACAAUUAUUUUUGAAAAUCAUUCCUAGAAAGAAUAGCGAAUAUACUAGACCGUUUCUACAUAACAUUUAUUGACGGCACUAUAAAGAUAAGGUAACGGUCGUUGAGGUGGUUGGACGACGCACAGAUGGUGAUCAUAUCAAGUAUUACUGUGUCAUUGGGUGAUAAAGAUGCGGUUUCAAUCAUUAAACAUUUGCUGACCUCUUCGUCUACAUGGUGAAGUGCGAUUAAGUUCAGUCUUUGGGCAGAAUUAAGCUUCCUGCAGAACUGGAUCUGGUAGUCAUGAACACUGUCAAUUGAAGUGAAAGUAUUUUGGAGAGAACGGAUUCAAGCAUUUGUUAACUAAGGUGAAUAAAGGUUUAUUUCUCCUUUCGCCAAGAAAAGACCAACCUACGGGGUAGGUCUACUCAGAGACGCCGAAGUAGGCACGAUGGCGUGCAUUUCGAUACUUGGAGUAUGUAUUACACUAUCUUGGGCUUAUCUUAUGUCAAAAGAUAUAAGAAAUAUGAAAACAUAAUCCAUAAUCGUGAAA